GACGAACGCUGGCGGCGUGCUUAACACAUGCAAGUCGAACGGAAAGGCCCUGCUUUUGUGGGGUGCUCGAGUGGCGAACGGGUGAGUAACACGUGAGUAACCUGCCCUUGACUUUGGGAUAACUUCAGGAAACUGGGGCUAAUACCGGUUAUGAGCUCCUGCUGCAUGGUGGGGGUUGGAAAGUUUCGGCGGUUGGGGAUGGACUCGCGGCUUAUCAGCUUGUUGGUGGGGUAGUGGCUUACCAAGGCUUUGACGGGUAGCCGGCCUGAGAGGGUGACCGGCGACAUGGGGACUGAGAUACGGCCCAGACUCCUACGGGAGGAAGAAGGGGGGAAUAUGGCACAAUGGGCGGAAGCGUGAUGCAGAAACGCCGCGUGCGGGAUGACGGCUUUCGGGUUGUAAACCGAUUUCGAAUGUGACGAAGAGUGAGUGACGGUAAUGGGUAAAGAAGCAACGGCUAACUACGUG
rnacentral:rRNA from 1 species